rnacentral:rRNA from 1 species
UACGGAGGGUGCGAGCGUUGUCCGGAAUCACUGGGCGUAAAGGGCGCGUAGGCGGCAUGCCAAGCGUGUGGUGAAAGCCCGGGGCUCAACCCCGGGUCGGCCGUGCGGACUGGCGUGCUCGAGCACUGUAGGGGCGGGUGGAAUUCCGGGUGUAGCGGUGGAAUGCGUAGAGAUCCGGAAGAACACCGGUGGCGAAGGCGGUGGUCUGGGCCGGAACUGACGCUGAGGAGCGAAAGCGUGGGGAGCGAACAGG